CAAGUUCAUCACUGGGCUUCCGUUGUCGCAAUGCAAAAGAAUCACAGGAUGGAGACAGAAGCUGCGGCAAAACAAGCUAUUGUCUCCUACAGAAAUUAGCACUUUGCUCAGAGUAUACGUCCCUCAGACCAAAGCCUGCUCUUUACUUCAUCCUUCUGUUUCAUUAUAGUAAGUCAGACUAAAAGAAUCAGCCAAACCUUCUCAAAAAUGCUCUAGUGUAGUUGCUGAUUAAACCUUACUUUAAAUACAGCGUUCACCAGAAAGAAACAAAGAAGUGUAAGGAUCAUAAAAGGAGGUAAUAUCCGUUAGCAGAUAAUAGUGCAGUCUCACAAAUGCCAACUUUCCAAGCAUGUGCACAUUGUUCAAGAUUUAAACCCAGUCUUUUAACAAACACCAACCUUAAAGCUUUAAAAUGUUUCCUUCUUGCAUUGUUUGAAGUGAACUGAGCAUCUGAAAAAAAUCCUCCCUGGGACUUGCUGUUACUGAUUUUGCCUACUAAAACACAGUAUCAGCAUAGGCCUCUGUUUUGCAUUUGUAUGUUAAAAAAACAUGGAAAUGGCUGCAGGAGGUCACAAUGAAGAUCCAGCCAUUCCAGAAAUGGCCAACAGUAGAACACAGGCCACAACUCAAUAGGCCAGACAAAUUCUGAUGGCAAACUCUUCCAGUUCCUAACAGCCUCAGGCACUUGCCAGCCCAAGGUGAUAUGUCUGCUUAAUAGCCUUUGGUGGUUUGUUUGCUUGUUUAAUGGAUUUGUCUUAUUUCUGUUUUAUCAACGUGGAAACAGUUUGGCAUUGAUCACUCUGCAUGGCAGCAAGUUCCACAUUCACGUAUCCAUUGUUUGAAAAGGUCUUCUCUGCAAAGCUACUCCUGCUGACCCUUGUUUCCUGCCGUUCUGGAGUCAAACUAGCUGAUCCUGCAACUGAGCACAGCACAAUUUUCCUUCUUUUAUCAAAUCACCUUGUACUGAGCAUGGAGUUAAGAGUACUGACUCACCUGAGAACAGCCCCCACUCCACCUCUACCUGAGCCACUAAAAGCUGCCUUCUCACCAUCAGUCUCUAUCAUUCUGCAGCUAUUUCUCUGAAGAAAAAUAUUUGGCAGAAGUGGUUCCAUAUACAACCUCAACACUAUCCAUACAGUCAUCUUUUGUUGGAAUAACUCCUUCUACAAUGUUAAUAAAUACCCAUUCUAAUAUUUUGAGACCUCAGGUGAGUGUGUUAAACAAGCAAGUAGUUCAUUGCAUGCUUUGUCUCUACUUUGCUUAUAGAAAUGGGUCUCAGAACAUACUUUACACUAAUUCUGCACUGUAGUACAUGUAAAUUAUUGAUGAAUUAAAUCUAACUUAUCACAAGGAUAGUGACAGUUUUUCAUCUUUAAAAAUAAAGCUGGGUAUAUAAGCCAUUUUUUUGCACAGUGUUGCAAUGUGAAGAUGGCAACUGAGAAUGCCUUGUUUUCCAGUAUUUUUAGGUCUUAAUUUUUCAUAUGAUCUCUUCCGUGUUCCCUCUGUGUUUUCACACUUCCUAAAAUAGAUCACUGUACUGGUUAGAUACGAACAUACUAAUGUAUAAUGCUGACAUUCCAGAAAGAUCUGAAUAGCUUUUUCUUUAUCUUUUUUUUUGUUUUAAUUUAAGUAGUUGGUAGCAGAGCUGAUAGAAGGUUAUUUAAUGUGAUAAGAAGCCUGUGAUACCUUUUCAUAGUAUUUAUGUUCUCUCCAUGUGACCUGUUUUCAGAAGAAUCUCUUCAAAUGGCUUGUCAACAUUCACAGUCUCUACGCUGCAAAUUACUAUUUAUGUUAUUUAAUGUGAGAGUAUAUAUCAUAAAAUAACUAAAAUUGAAUGUUUUCAAGUGCGAUUGGUUAAUAUUACUUGUACUGCUGUGACUUGUAGUAUUACUUUUGAAUGUCAGAAAAUAUACAUUGGAUGCUUGUACAUGAAUAAUGAAGAUUGAUGGAAGCUGAUUUGUUCAUUUUUGUAUUUUAAGUUGGAGAGUAAUGUAACAGUCAUUAAAUAUCCCUAAUAUGCUUCCAUUUAAAACAAAAGCCUGAAAGAAAAUAUUUGGCAUAAUACAUACUAAUAAAUCCAAUGGCACAGUAAAUAGUAUUGUCCAUAUUGCCUGUACUAGCCCGUGCAAUUAGAGCUUGUCAGGCUGCUGGGGUUGGGGUGCAAGGUUACAGAAAGAGGUGGUCUGGCCAUUUCUCACCUGUCCUUGUACACUUGCAAGGUGUUGGAGACAUGGGCACAAGUGCAUCAUCUGCUGCAUCUCUAGACCCUUAUCAAAAGAGUAAAUGUGGGGAGUCUUGUUCUCUUGAAUGCAGCUUCCCCUAUGGAUGGGUCACACUGGAAAAGGAGUUGUCUCAAAUCAUGGUGGUGCACAAAAGACCCUCUGAGGUGUCACCACUGGUGGUCUGAGCAGUUGAAUGCAGGUGCUUCCCAGUGCUGCACCAGGCCCUGCGUGGGCAGGACUUUGGUACUUCAGUGCAUGCAGAAGGCAGAAGGCACAAAGCAAUGGGCAAGUCUGCAGAUCACGGCAGAUACUGGACUCCCAUUGAAGGUCCCACUGUUUCCAAUUUAUUUUCGUAGUAUUGUCAUCUGUUAAAUAGACCAAGUUUAAAUUACAAAUUAUUCCAAAUGAUUACAAAUUCUUCCAAAUGAUUUUUCCCUUGUCUAGUAACACAUUUAUGAAGUCCAACUGAAAAAUGCAUAUUGGGUUAACUUAUAUAAUUAAUAAAUUACUGUGAUUAUAUAUUUUAUAGUAUACAAAUAAAUUUUUAUGAAUUUUUCUGUAAAGGAGCAAUCCAUGAAUCUAAUCAUACAUGGCCUUUGCUAUUCUUAGACUGCAAGCCUAGGGCAGAUUCUCAACAGGAUACAAAAUUUGGCUUAGCAAUGGAAUCUGUAAUCUGUGCUUGAACAUUGUUGCACAAUUAUAUUCGCUCUGCUUCAGGUAGUCUCUUAAGUGUUUUAAGAAUUCAUCUUACGGUAGUAUACAAGUAUACAAAUGAGAUUUAUAAGUGACUAAAUAAUUAGUGGAAACAAAUAAAUGAAAAUAUCAAAUACUGGUAGCUGCAUUUAAAUUAUAAAUGCUGACAGCAGCUCUCAGAACUGAGGAAAUGAAGAAUAAGGAGGAGGAAGACAACCACUGACUACAGUAAACUCAAAAGUAAAAGGCAGUAAUCUAACCAGGGAGCUAGUAGCACAUUCUAGCUGGUCUGUGCAAAUGAACAGUAUUCUAUUAAAAGGACAUUAUAUACAGUAACAAUUUCCAAAUAUAUAUGUGCAUAUAUAGAAUAAUACAUAUGUCUGUAUGUAUAUAUGAAUUAUCCAAAAGAGUAGUAUAUUACAUUUUACUAAUAUGUACACUGUUUAGUGUUUUGGGCUACGUCUAGAGCUAUCUGCUGAGAUGUGCUGGGCUGCUGUCUCACCAUACACACGGGUGUCUUUACAGGAGCUCUCAAAUACCUGGGCACAGCCCAGGUUCUAUCUAACCUGGUUCUAUCUAACCUGGCCUUUUCUCCCAACACAGUGCCAUGGUCCAUCAUUUUAUAUGUACAAAUCCAUGAUUUAGUUAUGAAAUAUUUAAAACAAAACAAACCAGUUUGCUCUAGUGUAGUUUAUCCUGACUUUUUGAAUGUUCAUAUGAAGUUUAAAAGAGUCGUCCAACAUAAUAAGCUGAUGAAAAAUAAGUUAACAUUUUGGACGAAGGAAAACACUGUAAGGAAGGCUGAGCUUUUGUUUCAACAUGUAUGUACUGAAAGUACUUCAUUGUCAUAAUGUCAACUGGGACAUCACCGCAAUUUUGGCAGAAGUAAAAUACGUAUGGAUACAUUUUCACUGUGCAGUGCAUGAA